rnacentral:rRNA from 1 species
GACGAACGCGGCGGCGUGCCUAAUACAUGCAAGUAGAACGCACAGGAUGCACCGUAGUUUACUACACCGUAUUCUGUGAGUUGCGAACGGGUGAGUAACGCGUAGGUAACCUGCCUGGUAGCGGGGGAUAACUAUUGGAAACGAUAGCUAAUACCGCAUAAGAACAUUUACUGCAUGGUAGAUGUUUAAAAGGUGCAAGAGCAUCACUACCAGAUGGACCUGCGUUGUAUUAGCUAGUUGGUGAGGUAACGGCUCACCAAGGCAACGAUACAUAGCCGACCUGAGAGGGUGAUCGGCCACACUGGGACUGAGACACGGCCCAGACUCCUACGGGAGGCAGCAGUAGGGAAUCUUCGGCAAUGGGGGGAACCCUGACCGAGCAACGCCGCGUGAGUGAAGAAGGUUUUCGGAUCGUAAAGCUCUGUUGUUAAGGAAGAACGUGUGUGAGAGUGGAAAGUUCACACAGUGACGGUACUUAACCAGAAAGGGACGGCUAACUACGUGCCAGCAGCCGCGGUAAUACGUAGGUCCCGAGCGUUGUCCGGAUUUAUUGGGCGUAAAGCGAGCGCAGGCGGUUAGAUAAGUCUGAAGUGAAAGGCAGUGGCUCAACCAUUGUAGGCUUUGGAAACUGUUUAACUUGAGUGCAGAAGGGGAGAGUGGAAUUCCAUGUGUAGCGGUGAAAUGCGUAGAUAUAUGGAGGAACACCGGUGGCGAAAGCGGCUCUCUGGUCUGUAACUGACGCUGAGGCUCGAAAGCGUGGGGAGCGAACAGG